UUGUUAACUUCAAAUUGGCUCAUCAAGUCUCGUUAUGUUUAUUUAUUAGUUUUCUUCCUAAAAGUUUAGUCAGAGGAUCGGCCAAAUCCACUUCUAAUUCCACAUAAUUAAUGGGUAUAAUUCCAUUUCUUAGUAGCUGUUUUACCAUAUUUUUUCUUAGAUGAAUAUGUCUAUUUUUACUAUUGAAAGUUUUAAUCUUUGCAAUAGCUAUUGUCUUUUGGCAAUCACAAC
rnacentral:lncRNA from 1 species